rnacentral:rRNA from 1 species
UAUUGCACAAUGGGGGGAACCCUGAUGCAGCGACGCCGCGUGAGUGAAGAAGUAAUUCGUUAUGUAAAGCUCUAUCAGCAGGGAAGAAUAAAUGACGGUACCUGAGUAAGAAGCCCCGGCUAACUACGUGCCAGCAGCCGCGGUAAUACGUAGGGGGCAAGCGUUAUCCGGAUUUACUGGGUGUAAAGGGAGCGUAGACGGCAGUGCAAGUCUGGAGGGAAAGGCGGGGGCUCAACCCCCGGACUGCUCUGGAAACUGUACGGCUGGAGUGCAGGAGAGGUAAGUGGAAUUCCUAGUGUAGCGGUGAAAUGCGUAGAUAUUAGGAGGAACACCAGUGGCGAAGGCGGCUUACUGGACUGUAACUGACGUUGAGGCUCGAAAGCGUGGGGAGCAAACA